rnacentral:rRNA from 1 species
UAGGGAAUCUUCGGCAAUGGACGAAAGUCUGACCGAGCAACGCCGCGUGAGUGAAGAAGGUUUUCGGAUCGUAAAACUCUGUUGUUAGAGAAGAACAAGGACGUUAGUAACUGAACGUCCUCUGACGGUAUCUAACCAGAUAGCCACGGCUAACUACGUGCCAGCAGCCGCGGUAAUACGUAGGUGGCAAGCGUUGUCCGGAUUUAUUGGGCGUGAAGCGAGCGCAGGCGGUUUCUUAAGUCUGAUGUGAAAGCCCCCGGCUCAACCGGGGAGGGUCAUUGGAAACUGGGAGACUUGAGUGCAGGAGAGGAGAGUGGAAUUCCAUGUGUAGCGGUGAAAUGCGUAGAUAUAUGGAGGAACACCAGUGGCGAAGGCGGCUCUCUGGUCUGUAACUGACGCUGAGGCUCGAAAGCGUGGGGAGCAAACAGG